rnacentral:misc_RNA from 1 species
UACGGAGGGUGCAAGCGUUACCCGGAUUUACUGGGCGUAAAGAGUUCGUAGGCUACUUUGUAAGUUAUUCUUCAAAUACCCUGGCUUAACCAGGGAUAGGGGAGUAAUACUGCAAAGAUCGAGACACUUAGGGGCUACUGGAACUGUCGGUGUAGGGGUGAAAUCCGUUGAUAUCGACAGGAACUCCGAGGGCGAAGGCAGGUAGCUGGGAGUGUUCUGACGCUGAGGAACGAAAGCUAGGGGAGCGAAAGGG